AGGAUCAUUAAUGAAAAAGACUUCCAAGUUUUUUUUAUAUCCCUUUGUUUAUCUUACCCUAUUGCUUUCCACUGGACGUGUUUUUUUUACCUUGUGUAAAAAGAGACCUUUGGCUUGUGUGAAUUUCAUACAUGCCAAAGAGCUGCCAGUGGUAAAGACUAUGUACCAAAACUUGAUUAUGAAAAAACACAUUUGUCUGAAUCUAUUGCUUCAAAUGAAAUAAAACUUUCAACAACGGAUCUCUAGGCUCUUGCAUCGAUGAAGAACGCAGUGAAAUGCGAUAAGUAAUGUGAAUUGCAGAAUCUCGUGAAUCAUCGAAUCUUUGAACGCACAUUGCGCCCUAUGGUAUUCCGUAGGGCAUGCCUAUCUGAGCGUCAGCUACCCCCCCAACUCUAGUAUCCUUUUGUGAUGCUUGGAAUCCUUUGGAGAGGUGACUCUAUAAAGAGUCUCCCUUCAGAAAUUUAUAGGCAGUAUGGUUUGCACUUGAACCAGACGUAAUAAUAAUAAAAUCGUUUGUUUGGGUAUAAUUGUACUUGCCUUAACCCACCCACAUUUUUUUCAAUUGGGUGACCUCAGAUCAGGUAGGGAUACCCGCUGAACUUAAGCAUAUCAAUAAGCGGAGGAAAAGAAACCAACAGGGAUUGCCUUAGUAACGGCGAGUGAAGCGGCAAAAGCUCAGAUUUGAAAUCUGGCGUCAUUUUGGCGUCCGAGUUGUAGUCUGUAGAGGUGUAUUCGAGUAUGGCUUUGGCUUAAGUUCCUUGGAACAGGACGUCAUAGAGGGUGAGAGCCCCGUUAGCGGCCUUUGUCUUAUGCUCAUGUGAAUCUCCUUCAAUGAGUCGAGUUGUUUGGGAAUGCAGCUCUAAAUGGGUGGUAAAUUCCAUCUAAAGCUAAAUACUGGCAAGAGACCGAUAGCGCACAAGUAGAGUGAUCGAAAGAUGAAAAGAACUCUGAACAAAGAGUUAAAUAGUACGUGAAAUUGUUGAAAGGGAAGCACUUGCGACCNNNCACACUUGCAGUUGAUCAAUUCUCAUUUUUGAGGAUGCACUCGGCUGUCUGUGGGUCAGCAU
rnacentral:rRNA from 1 species